GCUACAGGCUUAACACAUGCAAGUCGAGGGGAAACGACAUCGAAAGCUUGCUUUUGAUGGGCGUCGACCGGCGCACGGGUGAGUAACGCGUAUCCAACCUGCCCACCACUUGGGGAUAACCUUGCGAAAGUAAGACUAAUACCCAAUGACGUCUCUAGAAGACAUCUGAAAGAGAUUAAAGAUUUAUCGGUGAUGGAUGGGGAUGCGUCUGAUUAGCUUGUUGGCGGGGUAACGGCCCACCAAGGCGACGAUCAGUAGGGGUUCUGAGAGGAAGGUCCCCCACAUUGGAACUGAGACACGGUCCAAACUCCUACGGGAGGCAGCAGUGAGGAAUAUUGGUCAAUGGACGAGAGUCUGAACCAGCCAAGUAGCGUGCAGGAUGACGGCCCUAUGGGUUGUAAACUGCUUUUAUAAGGGAAUAAAGUGAGUCUCGUGAGACUUUUUGCAUGUACCUUAUGAAUAAGGACCGGCUAAUUCCGUGCCAGCAGCCGCGGUAAUACGGAAGGUCCGGGCGUUAUCCGGAUUUAUUGGGUUUAAAGGGAGCGUAGGCCGGAGAUUAAGCGUGUUGUGAAAUGUAGACGCUCAACGUCUGCACUGCAGCGCGAACUGGUUUCCUUGAGUACGCACAAAGUGGGCGGAAUUCGUGGUGUAGCGGUGAAAUGCUUAGAUAUCACGAAGAACUCCGAUUGCGAAGGCAGCUCACUGGAGCGCAACUGACGCUGAAGCUCGAAAGUGCGGGUAUCGAACAGGAUUAGAUACCCUGGUAGUCCGCACGGUAAACGAUGGAUGCCCGCUGUUGGUCUGAAUAGGUCAGCGGCCAAGCGAAAGCAUUAAGCAUCCCACCUGGGGAGUACGCCGGCAACGGUGAAACUCAAAGGAAUUGACGGGGGCCCGCACAAGCGGAGGAACAUGUGGUUUAAUUCGAUGAUACGCGAGGAACCUUACCCGGGCUUGAAUUGCAGAGGAAGGAUUUGGAGACAAUGACGCCCUUCGGGGCCUCUGUGAAGGUGCUGCAUGGUUGUCGUCAGCUCGUGCCGUGAGGUGUCGGCUUAAGUGCCAUAACGAGCGCAACCCCUCUCCUUAGUUGCCAUCAGGUCAAGCUGGGCACUCUGGGGGCACUGCCACCGUAAGGUGUGAGGAAGGUGGGGA
rnacentral:rRNA from 1 species